rnacentral:lncRNA from 1 species
UUGAUUGUUACAGCUAGCUGAAUCAACAUUAACCUGCAAAAGUCAAGUCGUUCUGAAAGGCUUAAUACGUGAUUAGAAAAGGUAUCUUGAAUAAUUUAGUUGAAAAAAUCAUACAACCCUUAACACACAACCGACAGGUUCCAUCAAAUGAUCUACUCUUCCCAAUAAAGCUUCUGAGAUGGCGAGUGUUUGCAAUGGAGAUGGGAGGGAAACCUUCAACAGUACUUUUGAUGUCAAGUGACAUCCCAUAACUCAAACCAAUCAGUUCCUCUUUAAAAUCUUCAGAGACAAUCUUCAUCAAAUCUUUAAAUUGAAGAUCUUCUUCUAUGGAAAUGAAAGAUGCAUUCAUGUUCAAAUCGACAUGAAACUCCCACUGGAAUGCAUCUUUUGACCU